rnacentral:antisense_RNA from 1 species
AAACAACGUUGCCACACGCGGAGAGCACGGAGAUUUCUGGGGCUUUGGAGGGAAUCGUGAGCGGGCGGGAGGAGGCCGGGGACCACACAGAGAAUAACUUGUUUGACUACCAGUAUUCUUGGAUGCAGAAGUGCUGAAGAUGAGCACACACACGUACGGAGAAUUUCUGGAGAAUUCAGCUGCUCAGAACAAGAACUGAGAUCCAGAGAGAUGAUGACUUUGCCCAUAGACCAAACAAAGAAAUACAUGUUUCAGUCCUGUGUCCUCCUGCUAUGUGUGUCCGGAAUUGGUGGGUUCUUGGUCUCACUGACUUCAAGAAUGAAGCUGCGGACCCUCGCGGACCGUGUGUGAAUGCCUGCUCUGUGAGCCCUCAGAAUCUACUGGCCAAAUGAGUGCGUGGAGGAAAUGUGCUCAGAGCUGCUGUGUGUCAUCCUGUGUUUGAAGUGCUCCUGCAGCUAUCAUUCAUCCAGUUAAGAAUUUGAAGAAGUGUGUGCACAAAGACGGAGUCUCACUCUGUUGCCCAGGCUGGAGUGCAGUGGCACAAUCUCGGCUCACUGC